GUUUAUGGCCAUACCACCCUGAACUCUUCUGAUCUUGGUAGCUAAGCAGGGUUGGGCCUGGUUAGAACUUGGAUGGGAGACACCUGGAACUAUUGGGUGCUGUAGGCU
rnacentral:rRNA from 1 species